rnacentral:lncRNA from 1 species
AAGCAAACUAAGCCACCCGAAUAAGUGGACCAUGGGGAUAUAGAGGCAGAAAACUCCCGGCCCCAUCCCCAGGCCUCCAGAGAAUUUGACACUCAAGCCACGGUGGAGAGGUUUUCUGUUAUGAGUUUAGCAUUUCUAAGAAAGAGGAGACCACAGGCUUUCCCUGUAGUCCAUUUCAAGAGUCUGAUAGCUCUCACUGGAAAUCUUCACUUCCUUUGAACUUGUACCUUCCUGCUGUGCCUCAGGCCUCUCCCUCUUCUGAGAGUUCUUGUCUCCAUGUCUGAUCCCUGUGAAAGUGCAGGCAUUUAAGGAGGAGGUCUGGGCCCCCUUCACGGUGGUGUCCACACCUCUCCCAGGGGGAUGUGCUCGGUAAGUGUGCAUGCAGCACCAUCUCAGCCCUGUGCAUCCUGGACCGCACCAACAAACAGCACCACACAGCUUGGGGACCAUGUCCAGAUUCACACGCAGACGAUAAGCACCGUGGCCAAUACCCAAGCGUUAGAUAAUUAAAGGUCCCUCCAAGGAUAAACACAAGUAAGAGUGGAAGCAAAGGAAGUGCACACGCUUGUCUCAAGAAAGACAGGGCAUGUAGCCUUUUCCCUAGGAUCUCUCAUCAUCUUCGCUUCUCUUUCUCACAUCAAAUGAUGCCAAUUCUUUAACUUUCCUAGGUUCCAUUUCCCAAUGCUUUCAUCAGUUUCACUGUCUUCUGCGAGGCUGAAUUUCCCUAAUUAAGGGCAGUGGGAGACGCUCCACAUUUGGAGUCCCUGUGAGGCAGCAAAGAUGGAGAGCUGAGACUGACCAUCCAGAAUCCAGGUGUGCCUUCGCCACACAGAACAACAAGCAUCGUUGAUGCCUCUAGAGCACAGUGGAGGAGAGAACUGGAGAAGAGGCACGGAGACCGCCAAGCGUUCCAGGUGCAGGCGGCAGGAGGGAGCCCAGGAUGCCGGCAGAGCGAGCCUUGGUCUGUGAACCCCAGGGCCGAUGGGCACCGGCUCAUCUAAUUCAUUUGUGUACAGAUCCACAAAACUGCACCUGGCUGUGGCCGUCAGUAAGUGCUAUAUAAAUGCUUCAUAAGUGUUUGUUGAAGGAAGUUGAAAUGUAGUCGUCAGAAGAGUGAGAGGGAAACCAGCGACAGAGCCUUGUAAGUCUAAGAAAAAGAAUUCAAAGAUGGUCAAGAGCUAACAUUGCACAGGGAAUUACAGUAUUUCCGGAAGACCAAGGGCAACUCUGAUUGUUCCAGACUGCCUGGGAGCACCAGAGUCUGAUUGUUCCAGACUGCCUGGGAGCACCAGAGUCUGAUUGUUCCAGACUGCCUGGGAGCACCAGAGGUCUGGGUGGGGGCAGGAGUCAGUCCACCUGGAACUUCUGCCUCCAGUGCACUGAGUCUGCACGGACCACCAGGGCUGACACUGCCUUACUUAAUAUGGGGGUGGGGGAAGUCCCUGCGAUAUAUAAUGGUCUCAAUUUAAAUUCUGUGCUGUUUUUAUUUUAGCUGUGUAAUUUGGAAACUUCAAAUAAAAAGCCUGAAAGGAAAGUUGGACUAUUUAAGCUUACACAGACUCUAUUAAUGCUAUAUGGUUAUUCUACCCCUGACUUUGGAAGAAGGAGAAACUGGCAUGGGAAUACACUUUUCUAAAAAAAAUACUAUUUAAAAAUAUGAAAGUUUAUUUAACAUCUAAGGAAAGGUACUUAAUUAGAGGGACACUCAACAAGAAGAAUUGAGGAUCUAAGUAAAUAGUCCCCAUCUGCUCCUGGUCCUACCACCUGGCGAUUACUUCCUCUUCUUCUCUGAUAGAUUUUAGCCAACCAAUUUUGUUUUAUUUGUGCAAGUUGAGAGGCCACCUGUUAUGGAAUAUACUUCCACAUUAAACAAAGUGAACAUUUCCUAUUUCUGUGCUUCCCAUAUGAUUUUUAAAACACAAAGCACUCACUUUCACCUUAAACAGAUUUAAGAAAUGCUGACUCUGAUGAACAGGUAUAAACAAGGCAAUCUUUUGUUUAUGAAAAUUGUUAACGACCUACCCACAGAAAGACAUGCCCUGCGCCACACUGUACCCCCCACCCCCGCCCACCCGGCUCCCCGAUGCUGGUGAAUUAAUCUAUCCACACGUUUUUGCUCAUUUCCCUGGCUGUUACCAGCUGAAGUGAAGAAAAGACAUUUUACAAGGGGACAUGGUAUAUUUGUGCUAAAACAGGCACCACACAAAUCCAGAGAAAGGAGCCAAAAGGAAAUACCAGGCAGAGGGAACAGCGUGGAUAAAGGCAAAGCUGAGAAGAGGUUCUGAAGGAUGGAAUCCCAGAUCAAGGAGCCAGCAGAUGUGGUGGUGUGGACCCACUUCCUGGUUCAUAGAGGACCUUCCCACUGUGCCCUCAUACAGUGAAGGGGUAAGAGAGCUCCGUGGGGUCUCUUUUAGAAGGGCACUAAAC